rnacentral:rRNA from 1 species
UACGUAGGGGGCAAGCGUUGUCCGGAAUCAUUGGGCGUAAAGCGCGUGUAGGCGGCCAGGUAAGUCCGUUCUGAAAGCCCGGGGCUCAACCCCGGGAGGCGGAUGGAUACUGCUUGGCUCGAGUCCGGAAGAGGCGAGUGGAACUCCCGGUGUAGCGGUGAAAUGCGCAGAUAUCGGGAGGAACACCAAUGGCGAAGGCAGCUCGCUGGGACGGUACUGACGCUGAGGAGCGAAAGCGUGGGGAGCGAACAGG